rnacentral:sRNA from 1 species
UGCAUACUCCGGCUACGUGUGCAUUAA